GCUUCAGCAGAUUUGGCAUAAAUGAGGGAGAAUGAUGCUCAUUUGGCUCCCCCUGCUGGUGCCUCGGCAGUGAUGUACUCGAACUGUGUUCCCCUCAGUGUUCGCCUGUGCUCCUGCGAUCCUCUUGCUCUGUCGUCACCUGGAAAGGAAAAAGACUGAAGUUACUAACCCAGCGGACGCUACUCCCCUCAUCAUGGAAGAGCUUCUCAAGCACCUUACCGAGGUCAGCAUCCGCCAGCAACAAAUUGCUGAACACCUCGCCAGCCGUCAAGGGGAGACAGAACAUGAGCUCGCCAUCCUCCAGGCAGGCCGACACGCUCCGCCGCUUGAUCCCCGUGUCCAGGCCGCGCAGCUGAUACCCAAAAUGACCGCCCAUGAUGACGUGGAGAUGUUCCUGCAGAUGUUUGAGAACGUUGCCAUACGAGAGCGUUGGGAACGCCCGGCACGACUGCUCGCACCCCUCCUGACCGGCGAAGCGCAGCAUGCCUACUUCU
ensembl:lncRNA